rnacentral:rRNA from 1 species
AUUGAACGCUGGCGGCAGGCCUAACACAUGCAAGUCGAACGGUAACAGGAAGCAGCUUGCUGCUUUGCUGACGAGUGGCGGACGGGUGAGUAAUGUCUGGGAAACUGCUCGAUGGAGGGGGAUAACUACUGGAAACGGUAGCUAAUACCGCAUAACGUCGCAAGACCAAAGAGGGGGACCUUAGGGCCUCUUGCCAUCGGAUGUGCCCAGAUGGGAUUCGCUAGUAGGUGGGGUAACGGCUCACCUAGGCGACGAUCCCUAGCUGGUCUGAGAGGAUGACCAGCCACACUGGAACUGAGACACGGUCCAGACUCCUACGGGAGGCAGCAGUGGGGAAUAUUGCACAAUGGGCGCAAGCCUGAUGCAGCCAUGCCGCGUGUAUGAAGAAGGCCUUCGGGUUGUAAAGUACUUUCAGCGGGGAGGAAGGGAGUAAAGUUAAUACCUUUGCUCAUUGACGUUACCCGCAGAAGAAGCACCGGCUAACUCCGUG